AGUAACGCGUGAGGAACCUGCCUCAAAGAGGGGGACAACAGUUGGAAACGACUGCUAAUACCGCAUAAGCCCACGGUGCCGCAUGGCACAGAGGGAAAAGGAGCAAUCCGCUUUGAGAUGGCCUCGCGUCCGAUUAGCUAGUUGGUGAGGUAAUGGCCCACCAAGGCGACGAUCGGUAGCCGGACUGAGAGGUUGAACGGCCACAUUGGGACUGAGACACGGCCCAG
rnacentral:rRNA from 1 species